rnacentral:rRNA from 1 species
AUUGAACGCUGGCGGCAGGCCUAAUACAUGCAAGUCGAACGGUAACAGGAAGAAGCUUGCUUCUUUGCUGACGCGUGGCGGACGGGUGAGAAAUGUCUGGGACACUGCCUGAUGGAGGGGGAUAACUACUGGAAACGGUAGCUAAUACCGCAUAACGUCGCAAGCCCAUAAAGGGGGACUUUCGGGCCUCUUGCCAUCGGAUGUGACCAGAUGGGAUUAGCUAGUAGGUGGGGUAACGGCUCACCUAGGCGACGAUCCCUAGCUGGUCUGAGAGGAUGACCGGCCACACUGGAACUGAGACACGGUCCAGACUCCUACGGGAGGCAGCAGUAGGGAAUAUUGCGCAAUGGGCGCAAGCCUGAUGCAGCCAUGCCGCGUGUAUGAAGAAGGCCUUCGGGUUGUAAAGUACUUUCAGCGGGGAGGAAGGGAGGAAAGUUAAUACCUGUGCUCAUUGACGUUACCCACAGAAGAAGCACCGGCUAACUCCGUG